rnacentral:tRNA from 1 species
GCGGGUGUGGUGAAACUGGUAGACACGCCAGGUUUAGGUCCUGGUGGCGCAAGCCGUGGGGGUUCGAUUCCCUUCGCCCGCACCA